rnacentral:rRNA from 1 species
UACGGAGGAUCCAAGCGUUAUCCGGAAUCAUUGGGUUUAAAGGGUCCGUAGGCGGUCUUAUAAGUCAGUGGUGAAAUCUCCCCGCUCAACGGGGAAACGGCCAUUGAUACUGUAAGACUUGAAUUAUUAGGAAGUAACUAGAAUAUGUAGUGUAGCGGUGAAAUGCUUAGAGAUUACAUGGAAUACCAAUUGCGAAGGCAGGUUACUACUAAUGGAUUGACGCUGAGGUGCGAAAGCGUGGGGAGCAAACAGG